rnacentral:rRNA from 1 species
GUGCCGUGAGGUGUUGGGUUAAGUCCCGCAACGAGCGCAACCCCCAUCACUAGUUGCCAUCAGGUAAUGCUGGGAACUCUAGUGAAACUGCCGUCGUAAGACGCGAGGAAGGAGGGGAUGAUGUCAAGUCAUCAUGGCCUUUAUGCCCAGGGCUACACACGUGCUACAAUGGAGAGGACAAAGGGCUGCCACUUGGCGACAAGGAGCUAAUCCCAAAAACCUCUUCUCAGUUCAGAUCGCAGUCUGCAACUCGACUGCGUGAAGCUGGAAUCGCUAGUAAUCGUAUAUCAGCAAUGAUACGGUGAAUACGUUCCCGGACCUUGCACACACCGCCCGUCAAGCCAUGGAAGCCGGGUGUACCUAAAGUCGGUAACCGUAAGGAGCCGCCUAGGGUAAAACUGGUGACUGGGGCUAAGUCGUAACAAGGUAA